UACGAAGGGGGCUAGCGUUGUUCGGAAUCACUGGGCUUAAAGGGCGCGUAGGCGGGCUGCCAAGUUUGGGGUGAAAUCCUCCGGCUCAACCGGGGAAGUGCCUUGAAUACUGGCGGUCUGGAGGGAGGUAGGGGCGUGCGGAACUGUAGGUGGAGCGGUGAAAUGCGUUGAUAUCUACAGGAACUCCGGUGGCGAAGGCGGCACGCUGGACCUUUUCUGACGCUGAGGCGCGAAAGCCAGGGGAGCGAACGGG
rnacentral:rRNA from 1 species